rnacentral:rRNA from 1 species
AUACCAGCUCUCCGAGUGGUGUGGAUGUUUAUUGGGCCUAAAGCAUCCGUAGCUGGCCAAGUUAGUCCCCUGUUAAAUCCACCGAUUUAAUCGUUGGAGUGCGGGGGAUACUGCUUGGCUAGGGGACGGGAGAGGCAGACGGUAUUUUCGGGGUAGGGGUGAAAUCCUAUAAUCCCGGGAAGACCACCAGUGGCGAAGGCUGUCUGCUAGAACGCGCCCGACGGUGAGGGAUGAAAGCUGGGGGAGCGAACCGGAUUGGAUACCCGGGUAGUCCCAGCUGUAAACGAUGCAGGCUAGGUGUUUGGACGGCCACGUGCCGUUCUAGUGCCGCAGGGAAGCCGUUAAGCCUGCCGCCUGGGGAGUACGGUCGCAAGGCUGAA